CGAAUGCUGACAUAAGUAACGAUAAAGCGGGUGAAAAGCCCGCUCGCCGGAAGACCAAGGGUUCCUGUCCAACGUUAAUCGGGGCAGGGUGAGUCGACCCCUAAGGCGAGGCCGAAAGGCGUAGUCGAUGGGAAACAGGUUAAUAUUCCUGUACUUGGUGUUACUGCGAAGGGGGGACGGAGAAGGCUAUGUUGGCCGGGCGACGGUUGUCCCGGUUUAAGCGUGUAGGCUGGUUUUCCAGGCAAAUCCGGAAAAUCAAGGCUGAGGCGUGAUGACGAGGCACUACGGUGCUGAAGCAACAAAUGCCCUGCUUCCAGGAAAAGCCUCUAAGCAUCAGGUAACAUCAAAUCGUACCCCAAACCGACACAGGUGGUCAGGUAGAGAAUACCAAGGCGCUUGAGAGAACUCGGGUGAAGGAACUAGGCAAAAUGGUGCCGUAACUUCGGGAGAAGGCACGCUGAUAUGUAGGUGAAGUCCCUCGCGGAUGGAGCUGAAAUCAGUCGAAGAUACCAGCUGGCUGCAACUGUUUAUUAAAAACACAGCACUGUGCAAACACGAAAGUGGACGUAUACGGUG
rnacentral:rRNA from 1 species